UACGAAGGGGGCUAGCGUUGUUCGGAAUCACUGGGCGUAAAGCGCUCGUAGGCGGAUCUUUAAGUCAGGGGUGAAAUCCCGAGGCUCAACCUCGGAACUGCCUUUGAUACUGGGGAUCUCGAGUCCGGGAGAGGUGAGUGGAACUGCGAGUGUAGAGGUGAAAUUCGUAGAUAUUCGCAAGAACACCAGUGGCGAAGGCGGCUCACUGGCCCGAUACUGACGCUGAGGCACGAAAGCGUGGGGGAGCAAACAGGG
rnacentral:rRNA from 1 species